GAUUCAGGUGUGCUGGAACAACAAUGCGUCUAAAAGCUGCAGGACAGUAGGUAUGUCCCAAUUCAUAGGCCGCAUCCUUCAGAGGCCGCAAUUGAAAGCCGGUUACGUCACAGCCAGGCGACGAAGGCUGCUCCAAAUGCGUCCUUCAUUUCAUUCAGCUCUCAAGGGCUGGAGCUGGACACACCUGCUGUAGAUUAUGACAUGCCCACAGAUUGCACUGAAGUUCACACGUCAGGGAGGCUGUUAACUGAGCAAUGUGUGGGUUACAGAAGGCGCAGGAUGGAGGUAGAUAGAUGGAUGGAUACUGUUUUUUCUGUUUGAUCAAAAGGACCUUAUACAAGAACUCUUUACAACCAUGUGCAAUUAUUUUGUACAGAACACAGCACAUCUGUGAGAGAAACUUCAGGAGCUUUUGAAAAUCUCACAAUUUACCAAACCUCUCAAAGAAAAAACCCUGACAAAUUCAUUUUAAUUUGUUGUGUUUAUUUCUAGUAUGUAUAUUGAUCAAUUUUUAUUUUGUUUGCUAUCCUAUAGAGCUAUUUUGCCUCAUUUUAUGAAGCCACUUUACCUUAUUAAGCUAUUUUGUUUUGUUAUUGAAUUUUUUUUUUUUAGCAAUUUCUCAUUAUUGUAGUAAGCAUUUACCUCUCAAUAUAAACCACAUUGAGGUAACUAUAUAUAUAAAAACUGAAUUCAAUUCAAUUAAACAUUAGAAUUCUCCAGUUUUUGGGAUGAAAGUCACAUCUCACAGAUUCAAUCAGUGAUGGAACUUGGGGUCAUUGGGUAUUUCAGGCCCAGCAGGAACUGUUCAUGGAUCCAUACUCUGGAUCCAAAGCCACCCAGUAGCUUUCUCUGUGACUUCAGAUGCUCCAUUGCUAAAUGAUUGCCCUGCAAAUCCUGUUCUCUUCUCAUUGCAAUUUUAAUUUCAACAUGAUCAAUUAGUUGGUGGAUUUGAAUACGAUGAUCAUAUCUGGCUGCAUGAUGGUGUUAUUUGGGCUGUAAAAUUCAGCUGCUUGCCAAGGGACCCAUCCAUAUGCCAGCUGCUGGAGGCAGUGAGGAGGGCAGCUUUUGUUCAGCUUGUGGGUCAGGUUUCUCUCCAGCGCUAACCAUGGCAAUGGUCUUUGCCUGACGGUGGCCUCUGAUGCCUUUAAAGGCCACGGUCCUCGAUAAGGACUUAGUUAUAGUGUCAGUGAUAGAGCCCAUGUCCAAAGGUUUUUGGGUAGUUAUAUCGGUCUAUUUACUUGUAAUGUAAAAUUACAGUCAAGAAGGAGUAAAGAAGCGUUCUACAAAACAGGUUACAUGUGUCAAAACAAAUUAACUUACACAAAAUGGACUGUGAUUGCCAAUGGUCAGUCUUUUAAAUUUGUGCAUUAUAUUAUAUUAUAUUAUUAUUUCACAAAACAUCAGCCUUGUAGAAAUGUUUAGCUGAUUAAAACGUCGAAAUUAGACUGCCAUCUUCAGUUUUGUCUUUCAGCUGGUGUAGAAAUGGAUAUAAACAAAGUAGUCAUUGUGCACAACACUGUCAAAGAUUGUAUAUGUAUUAAAAGAUGGAUCACUCUGUAACAACACUGUAAUAAACAGUUUCUGCAGGCCUUGAAAAUGCACAAAAAUUUUCUUACUGAUCCAAUCAUGUCUGCAGUUAAUCUCUCAUUUAAACUUUCAUUCACUUUUUUUUUUAAUAAAUAAAACUUUACAAAAGAUCAUCUUUAAGCUCCAAUUCAGUACUUUCAGUACUCCGAUCAAGUUACACAUUGUUAGAAGAUAAAAUGUGCUAAAGGAAGCAUACGCAAUAAAUUUCCAUUCCAUUUUAAUGAGCUGUAAGAAUUUCAGUGGGAGGAAUUAUAUUUUACAAAUAAAUAAAGGAAUAUGCUGGUAUACUGACAAGUUUUUACUUUUAUUUCACACACUUUCCCCUCAUUACGUGAGAGGAGAUAAUACUACGGUUGAAGUCUUUUGCUAGGACUGUCAAGGGUUUUAAGGGUUUAAAGCUCCGAAGUCAAAAAGUUAAUCUUAUGAGUUGCAUUUCUAGAUUAAUGUAUGUAGUAUUGUAGAAGUAAUUAUUUUGACUGUGGCUGCUGAGCUCCUGGUGCUGUCCCUUCUGUGUGUUGUGCUCCAACAACUUAAGAAUUAAUUGGGUCACUUUAUUAAUAAUUCAGCAGGAUUCAGUGCUAAUAACUCACACACAACAUAAACAGAAGUGGAACUCGUAUUCACUUUGUUUUAAACUAAACUAAACUGACCCAUUAAAAUAAUAGUAUCUAC